GAUGAACGCUGGCGGCGUGCCUAAUACAUGCAAGUCGAGCGAACAGACGAGGAGCUUGCUCCUCUGACGUUAGCGGCGGACGGGUGAGUAACACGUGGAUAACCUACCUAUAAGACUGGGAUAACUUCGGGAAACCGGAGCUAAUACCGGAUAAUAUAUUGAACCGCAUGGUUCAAUAGUGAAAGACGGUUUUGCUGUCACUUAUAGAUGGAUCCGCGCCGCAUUAGCUAGUUGGUAAGGUAACGGCUUACCAAGGCAACGAUGCGUAGCCGACCUGAGAGGAGGGUCGGCCACAGUGGAACUGAGACACGGUCCAGACUCAGACGGGAGGCAGCAGGGGGGAAUAUUGAGCAAUGGGCGAAAACUUGACGGAGCAAUGCCGCGUGAGUGAAGAAGGUCUUCGGAUCGUAGAACACUUUUAGUAGGGAAAAACAAAAGUAAAGGAAUAUGUGGACGUUUUGACGGUACCUAAUGAGUAAGCAGCGGCUAACUUCGUG
rnacentral:rRNA from 1 species